UACGGGGGGUGCGAGCGUUGUCCGGAAUCAUUGGGCGUAAAGCGCACGUAGGCGGUUCGUUAUGUCGGAUGUGAAAGCCCUUGGCUUAACCGAGGAAGUGCAUCCGAAACUGGCGAGCUAGAGUACGAAAGAGGAUCGCGGAAUUCCCGGUGUAGAGGUGAAAUUCGUAGAUAUCGGGAGGAACACCGGUGGCGAAGGCGGCGAUCUGGGUCGAUACUGACGCUGAGGUGCGAAAGCGUGGGGAGCAAACAGG
rnacentral:rRNA from 1 species